CCUACGGGAGGCAGCAGUGGGGAAUCUUGCGCAAUGGGCGAAAGCCUGACGCAGCAACGCCGCGUGCGGGAUGAAGGCCUUCGGGCUGUAAACCGCUUUCAGCAGGAACGAAAAUGACGGUACCUGCAGAAGAAGGAGCGGCCAACUACGUGCCAGCAGCCGCGGUGACACGUAGGCUCCAAGCGUUGUCCGGAUUUAUUGGGCGUAAAGAGCUCGUAGGCGGCCUAAUAAGUCGGGUGUGAAAACUCUGGGCUCAACCCGGAGACGCCAUCCGAUACUGUUAUGACUUGAGUUCAGGAGGGGAGCGGGGAAUUCCUAGUGUAGCGGUGAAAUGCGCAGAUAUUAGGAGGAACACCGGUGGCGAAGGCGCCGCUCUGGACUGAAACUGACGCUGAGGAGCGAAAGCAUGGGUAGCAAACAGGAUUAGAUACCCUGGUAGUCCAUGCCGUAAACGGUGGGCACUAGGUGUGGGUUUCAACUAACGAAAUCCGCGCCGUCGCUAACGCAUUAAGUGCCCCGCCUGGGGAGUACGGUCGCAAGACUAAAACUCAAAUGAAUUGACGG
rnacentral:rRNA from 1 species